AUUCUUGGUAAGCCUAUGGUUCGGAUUUACUACUACGUGCGUCUUAGUUUGUUCUCUCUCUGGUGUUGAUGCAUCACGACAACGUUAGAAAAUGACUUGUGUAGAGUUGAGAAAAUGGAUGAUCUUGGGAAGAAGGGUCUCUUCCAACUGUGCUUAUAUAUGCUCUCAUGAUUCAUAAAAUUCUUACAUGGUUUUUGGUUUUAUGGUUGGUUGUUGUU
rnacentral:lncRNA from 1 species